rnacentral:rRNA from 1 species
UACAGAGGGUGCGAGCGUUAAUCGGAAUUACUGGGCGUAAAGCGUGCGUAGGUGGUUUGUUAAGUCAGGUGUGAAAUCCCUGGGCUCAACCUGGGAACUGCAUUUGAUACUGGCAGACUAGAGUGUGGUAGAGGGUGGUGGAAUUCCCGGUGUAGCGGUGAAAUGCGUAGAUAUCGGGAGGAACAUCAGUGGCGAAGGCGGCCACCUGGACCAACACUGACACUGAGGCACGAAAGCGUGGGUAGCAAACAGG